AACACACUUGUGCCGGAUUUUAUUAUCGAUGCGGAAAUUGGGAGAUAUUCUGGAACGAUGCCACCUAUAGACACAGAAGCGAUAUUCUUUUCAAAUGCAUUUGCAAACGCGUUCUUUCGAAUGUAAAAAAUCAAAGAUUGUCGCUGUCCAAUGGAGUGAGUGCAAGGACAGGCUGUGAGCCCUUAUCAAACAGUAAAGAUGUGGACAACAGCAGUAAGAAGCAGAGUCAAGUCGAGGUCGAGGAGCUUUCUGAUUUACUAUGACUUUAACGGUCGUUUCUGACAUAUUGGAUGGAGAGUUUCCAUAAAUCGAUGGACCUAAUCUCAGUUGGUUGAUCGCGCAAUCAUUGACUAGAUCAGUGUGUAAAGAAGAUCAAAAAGGGCAGAGUGCCCUGGGAUUAUGUCCAAAGGAUGGAUUGGAAAAAGGAACGGAUAUAACUAUAUAGAUUUGUGCCACAAGGAUAUAGAGGAUAGGUGGAAGUUCAAUUCGGAAGGGGGGUGAAAGGAAAGGAUUAAUGGCGCAGGAGGGACACCCGCGACUAUAAAUCGCUGGUGGCCGGGAAUUACUACUCGUAACUUGCGAAAUAUGACUGUCUCAUAAAUCCAAAACUGACAGAAUGCGCCUCCAUCGACUGACUUAGAAUUAAUACAAGUUCGCGAAAAAUCAUUGUGACCUUGUUUUGUGUAAAGUGAAAUAUUGCUUUUCAGCAAAUAUUCUUCUUCAGUGAUUUGUUUCACUGAAAGUUAUCACUAUUUUAAUUAAUGUAUUUUAGAUGAAUUUCUGCUAUUGAAUUACUUACAUUACAUAUUACUCGAAUUAGUCAGUCACUCAACAUUACACCUUCUAGCGCCAUCUCUUGGGACUGACGGGUACUUAAACUCCCACAUUUGAUUAAAUACAAUAUUUUUAGACUAUAAAACUUUUAAAUCAGGGUAUCUACACUAGAACGCAGAAGUAUCCAAAUAAAUUGAAGUAAAAAUUAACUUUUCUAUAGACGAAACUAUACGAAUUAGAUUUGCUGCUAUUAAAAAAAUUAGACGAAUUAAUUAACCACUACUUUUCAUUUUUUCUAUUAAAUUUUUCUAUUAAAUCUAGACUCACUGACAAUAUCAAAGGCGAUAAAUCAUCUGAAAAAUCAUAUGGCAACAA